rnacentral:rRNA from 1 species
CACACUGUAAACGAUGAUAACUCGCUGUCGGCGAUAGAUAGUCGGUGGCCAAGCGAAAGCGAUAAGUUAUCCACCUGGGGAGUACGACCGCAAGGUUGAAACUCAAAGGAAUUGACGGGGGCCCGCACAAGCGGAGGAACAUGUGGUUUAAUUCGAUGAUACGCGAGGAACCUUACCCGGGCUCGAACGGCUCUAGAAUAUAUCAGAGAUGAUAUAGCCAGCAAUGGCUGGAGUCGAGGUGC